ACCAACCUGCGAGGCACCGGCGAGUACCUACGCUGUGCUUCCCGGGUCCGCUGCGCCUUAGGUCCCCAAAGAAAGAUAAGACCUUCGGCGAGGAGCCGAAGACCGGGUGGGCAUCUUGUCUCCCGGAAGGGGAGACGUAGCCGUUACCAAGGGUCAUGAGUGGAGGUAGAGCUUCCCUUGGAACUUCACAGUACUGUCAGAAGUUUUGCUGAAAACGCACCUGCCCCAUCAACCUCUUCAGACUUGUGAUGGCGUCCCGAGGUUAAGAGAAAGCUUUUGGGGAAGGGGCCCCGAUGCUUAAGAUGGGGCUGAGCGUAUGUUUCCCUGGUAAUAAAACUGGUAGUCUCGA